UGGAGGAGGGAUACGAGGGCCAGAGAUGGGGAGGAGGAGAAAAAAAAUUAAGUAGGACUUUUUUUUGUGUGUGUGUCUGCCAAGAAUGACCCUGAAUUUCUUCUUUAUUCUUUAAAUUUAUUUAUUUACUUCUAUUUUAUGUGUGAAUGCUUUGCAUAUAUACCUGCAUGCCAGAAGAGGACAUCAGAUCCUGUUAUAGACGGAGUUGAGCCAUCAUGUGGGUGCUGGGAACUGAACUCGGGACCUCUGGAAGAGCAGCCAGUGCUCUUAACCAUCAGGCCAUCUCUCCAGCCCCAGCCUUGAACUUCUUGUCUUCUACUUGGCCUCCCUGCGUGUCUGGAUCACAGACACACUCCGCGCUCCACCGUACCUGGUUUAUUCAGGGCCGUACAUGCUAGGCAAACUCUCUACCGAGCAAGUACAUGUUUUAAAUGAGGCAGGGUCUUGUGUGGCCCAGGUUGGACCCAGACUCACCGUCUUUCUGCCUCAGCCUCCAUGGUACUGGGAUUAUAGGCAUACGGUCCCUUGCCCAACUAUUUAAACAGGAAUUACAAAUUUAAACUCCUCUGCUUUUUUAAAAUUUAAAAACACAGAGGAAACAUCCUAAAGAGAUAGGUACCAAAAUGUUAACAAUGUUUCUUUGCUUUUUCACCCUGAGCAGCGGAGCUCUGGACGCUCUUAGUUUCCUUCCUUCUCCUCUCUGUGCAUCCUGAAUAUGGUGCAGGACUCAUAGCGUCUUUAUAGUACUGAUGACGGCGGCUGGGGAUCCAGCUCUGUAGGAGACCUAGCAUGUGGGAGGCCUUAGGUUCCAUCCCUAGUACCAAAAAGCAAAGGAGAUAGUAUUGUCUGUGAAAGGACUAGGAGAUGGCUCAGUCAGUGAAGCGCUUGCCUCAUAAGCGUUAGGACCUGAGUAAAAUCUCCACGUAAAAAGCCACAUGUGGCGUACUUGCUUGUAAUCCCAGCUGUUGGGAGAUUGGAGGCAGAUAUAGGGGAUCCCUGGAGCUUGCUAGCCAGCUGGUGAAGGUCCAGGACAAUAAGAGACCUUGUCUCAAAAAGGUAGACAGCCCCCUGAGUACAGACGCCCAAGGUUGCCCUCUGACCCCAGGACUCGGGGCGUUACCCACUGUUGUUCUCCUGGUCCUGAUGACCACACAUUCAUGUUCAAGGCAGUUCCUAGCAUCAAGCUUCCGCAGGUGAAGUGAGCCCGCUUUCCGGAGGGGAGAGGAUGUCACUGACUGUAGAUCUUUCCGGUCAUUGUAGCAGCCACCCAGUGUUGUCUUCUUCAGGAUUCUGGGAGGAAACCUUUUGUCUACCUUAACACAGUUAGACCCUACACUUCAUGCUCAGAUCACCGGAAUGGAUGCCCUGACCACAUGACAAAAGGCUGUGGGUGAAAAAUUCAGACAAGAGCUACUGGGGCAAUGUGCAGCACGCAGAGCUUCAGUGACUGUCUGAGGACCACACAGCUAGUGGCAAGUAGCAUCUCAGAGACGUAAGCCCAGGCAGCCUAGCUCUAGCAGCUGAGCUGAGCUAGAACCAAUAGCUUCUGUAUAGCCCAAGGAAAAAGUUGAAAUGUAAAAAGAGAUUUAAACUGAAAAAAAAAGUCAAAAUAAUUAUCUAACUAACAAUAAAUCAGGGCAGGGCAUGGUGGUACAUGCCUUUAUUCCCAGCACUGAGGAGGCAGAGGCAGGAGGAUCUCUGUGAGUAUGCUGUUAGCCUGGUCUACAGAGCAAGCUCCAGGACAGCCAGGACUACAUAGACCCUUUCCCAAAAAUCCAAAUAAAUUAAAUAAGUAAAUAAAUGAAUAGAAACCAGGAACAACUUAAGUAGUCAAUACUGGUAAAUUGAUAACUUGUUUCUGUGAUGAGAUUUUGUUCUGUCAGCCAGGCUAGUUUGGGAUUCUUGGGUUCAUGUGAUCAUCCCGCCUCAGCCUACUGCGCAGCUGGGAAGACGGGUGUGUGCUGCUGUGUCCAGCUAGUUGUUAGAGUCCUGAACCACAGAGGCGGAGCUUCUCAGGCAAUGACCUUAAUUUUCUUCACGUGGUUUCUGCGGUACCAGCUUUAUCGUCCUUGUGAUGGCAUCUUCUGAAGGAAGAAACCGAGGCUUCUGGGAGGUGAGUGCUUUGCUCGCCUUCUAGUGACUAAUGACUGAAACGGGACAGUUGACUCUGACGUCAUGUGUCCAGCCGUGUGAUCGACUCUUAGAAGCCAUUGAAAUAUAUUUUUUUUCAAGAGCAGGAGAGAUGGCUGGAGAUAUGGCUCAGUAGUUAAGAGCAUGUAUUGCUCUUGCAGAGGAGCUGCGUUUGAUUCUCAGCACUCACCACUCACAUUGCCCUAUAACUCCAGGGGCUCCUGCACCCUCUUCUGACAUCCAUGGGCACCUGCACUCAUAUGCACAUACCCCCCCAAUUUAAAAAUAAAACAAACAUUUUAAAGAUAUUUUCCCAAGCAAUUUCACUUGAUUGAAGAAAUGAAAAGGAAAGGAAUGAAAAGAGAAACAAAAGUUAUAACCACAGUGCAUGAAACUGUCUGCGGCAUCUAAAAGCAUACUCUGCACAACAGGAAGCAUAUUCCCAGAAGUCACAGGAGUCUGGACAUGGCCAGAACUUGUGAGCACUCAGAGAGGGCAGGGAGCCAGGGCCGAUGUUUUUUUGCAAGGUCCGCACCUCCUACAGUAAGUGUUUUAAUUAUUCUCUUCUUGGGAAGAGGAGCUUUUCAAAAUGUUUAAAAAGCAAUCAAGAGAACAAGAAGCUACAGUGCCCUGGCCUGAAGGAGCUGGCAUUCAGGCUGUCUAGCCAGAGACCUGCCACCCUCUGCCAUGUCUGGUGGCCUUCAUUGUGCGUAGCCCCGCUCCCUGAGCACAAUCUUAGGGGAGGGAGUCUUGUCACUUUAAGAGUCGCCAUAAUAGGACAAAACUCAUUAGACAUCCAUGCAGUCAGUACACAGUGAUGUUUGUUAAAGAGCCACAAACAGACAAGCUGCAUUAAAGCCCCCCAACUGUAAUGAGAAACACCCAUCAAGCACCUUUGUUAUGGUAUCUCAAGCUAUACCCUAAUAUUCUAAAUGUUUUACUCACCUCCCCCCCCCCAUUUUUUUGGUUCUCUUUUUCAACUUUGGUUUUCCGAGACAGGGUUUCAAGCAGCCCAGGCUGUUUUGAACUUGAUAACAGAGGUUGACCAUGAACUACUUGCUGGUGGUCCUCCUGCCUCUACCUCCCAAGUACUGGGAUUACAGGCGUGCACCAUCACACCAAGUUUGUGUAGUGCAGGGAAUUGAACUCAGAGAUUCAGCCACGCUAGGCAAGCUGUCUGCCGACUCAAGUCACAUCCUCAACCCUCAUUUUUGGUUCUCUUAGAGAAAUUAAAUACUGGCAACAUGCUGGCUCUCUUCGCUGGGGUUCCAUCCACUCUUUGCCCUUCUCUGCCUACCUCUGGAUCUGGGAUGUGACUUUGACUGUAUCUGCAUGUUCUCUUGUUCGUUGGCUUUUGGGUAGGCUUGGGCACUAGGGAGGUGCUGGGGGGGUAUCCCAGGGACUUUCCUCUGUCCCUGUAUGCUCUGGAGCUGCCUCCGCAGCAGCUGCCCCUCUUCCCAGCUCUUCCAGGAUAUCCCAAGGUCUAUUCUUUCCUCGGCUCACCCCCUUCUGAUGUCACGGUCAGGUGAUGCCACAGCCCUUGCCAACUUCCUUUCCAUCAUCCAUCUCUAUAGGAGUUCCACUUUCCUUCUUCCAUACAUCCAGGCCAGACAGUGGGGUCCUGUUUCUCAGCUGAACCCUACACAGAUAGAUUCUGAUGGUCCUGAUGAAUUUCAGAUAAGGGCACCAAGGGUUAGAUAUCUACAGUUAUCUAGAUGGUGAAAAGCAGAACAGAACUCCAGACCUGGCGUCUGGUUGCAAAAGACCCUUCACAUGUCAUCUAAUGUUGGUAUCCAGCAAGUGGUGUGUGCGCUUUGAAAUCAAUGGCAAAUGUCGGACACCGAAGUAGCCCCAGGGUCCAGCUAUCACUGGCGGGGAGAGAGUUUCUUGUCCCUAAACUGGAUAUGUGCUUUUUCUCUCCUCUUUUCCUAAGUGCUCUAUGGGAGGAGAUAGAUUUCCACAUCAGGGAGGUUGCAGUUUUAGGGUCCUGGGGGCUGUGUGGUUAGACCUGAUUGUCAAGGCCCCUUGAGCUCGCACAACCUACAAGGGAGAGCUGCCUUGAUGCCAGGAGGCAGCUGCUUGUUCAGGGGGCAGGUGUGCAAAUGUAGAAGCCAGGUGUGGUGGCAGACGGAUGUAAUUCCAGCUCGGGCUACACAGCGAGGUCCUAUCUUAAUAAUCCAAAACAGUUAAAUGAACAUAAUAAAUGAAAUGAUCACAAAAGGCAUGUGUGAGAUGAGGCUGAGGGACCCUGGGCAGCUUACAUCAGACCUGGCUGGGGGAGUGGGCGGCAUCUUCUCCAUGACGCUGGGGCCACCAAUAUUCAGAACACAUUCCUGGAGACCCUGUGUCCAAACUGGGACUCUGCUUUGUCAGUGCAUGAAUGCAGCCACCUUUUUAGAGAGAUCUUGAAGUAAAAUGAAUUCAACAUGAAAAAGCCUUUUAGGCGUGGUUAUGGCUCAGUAGGGAGAGGGCUCAUCUAGCAUAUGCAAGACUCUGGGUUCAGUCCCUAGCCAAGCCUGGUUAUUGGUUCUUACUUGAAUCGGUAUCAAUGUUUUUCUUAGAUGCUCAUAGAAUUACAAAGCUAGCGGGGGAAAAGCAUGACUGCUUUGCUUGCUUACCUUAUAUGUGUUUAACUGGGCUGCUAAUAAAUGAUUUAGCCAAAAAAAAUUACCCCGUGACUUCAAAGAGUCCAGAUAAGCCUGUGUUCUCACACAGAAAUGAUUUCAUGACUUGUAGAUAAAAGGCCUGGAGGAGUCUGCUGACCUGGAACGCAAUGAGGUGACUCCCUCCCGAGCAGAGACCUGGGGUGAGUCUGCACUGUGGAAAGUCCUGGAUUCUUGUUCACUGUGGACUCUGCUAGUGCCAUUUAUUAACACAAACAACAUCCCAAUUUUUUCUCCUCAGAGUGGCCAUGAUGAACACAAGGUAUAGAAUUUGUGGAAAGAAAAUGUUUUGUUUCCUGUCCUUUUUUUUCCCUCUGUCAACUGUUACUGGGUCUGGAGGUCUUAUGACCUCUCUGCAAACAUCACAAAAGGCUUUUGUUCCCCUGGGUGUGGAUUUUAUCUCACUGAGCUGUAGGGAUGAACUCUCCAGUGCUUUUCUGAAGUGCCAAGGACUUGUUCCUAUACUUCAGGGAAGCUGACAGUCACAGGACUAAGGGUCCAAGGAUUGUGUGGUCCUGAUGUUGAGGCAGGGGACAGCCCAUGGGCCUGUGAUUCAUUGACCCAGAGCAGGAAAAGGGAAGGAAGGAGGGUCAUGGGACUUUGUAAGUAUGUGUGUGUUUAUUCUAGCAGUCAUAUCUGGGUUCAGCACUUAGGACCUGAUACUCAGAUGCCAUGAGACUAGAUGCCUAUCCCUUCCGUGGGGAGCUUUUUAGUAUGUUGUUGAUUGCCUAAGAAUGGAGAGAGGAAAAUACGUAAGAUUGCUUAUGUGUCUGUAUGUAUAUGUAUGCAUCUGUGAUGUGGGAUUCACCUCUGUAUGCUGUGAAUAUGUUUUGUUACCAUUGGUUAAUGAAUAAAGCUACGUUGGCCUAUGGCAGGGCAGAAUAGAGCAAGGCAGGAAUUCCAAACAGAGGUAGAGGAGAAAGUAGGUGGAGUCAAGGAGAUGCCAUGUAGCUGCUAAAGGAGACAGACACUCCUGAACCUUACCAGUAAACCAUGAGCCGCAUGGUAAAAUAUGAAAUAAUAGGAAUGGAUUAAUUUAAGAUGUAAGAGUUAGUUAAUAAGAAGCCUGAGCUAAUAGGCCAAGCAGUGUUUUAAUUAAUACAAUUUCUGUGUGAUUAUUUCAGGUAUGAGUGGCUGGGAACAAACAAGCAAUCUCCACUUACACAUUUGUGUAUGGUGCAUCUGAGUAUAUAUGUUUGUAUGUCACUGUGUCUGCAUGUAUAUAUUCACAUUCAUGUAUCUAAAUGCAUACAUUUAUGUAAGUAAAUGUGUAUAUGCAUAUAUAUGCACGCAUAUAUGCACUUGUAUAUAUGCAUAUAUUGUAUAUUUGUGUAUGUACUUGAAUAUGCAUGUGUAUGAAUGUCUUGCUGCAUCUGUGUAUGUGUGUAUAUUUGUGUGUAUAUGUAUAUUUCUACACAUGUAUACAUAUGUCUAUAUGUGUGUAAACAUAUGCAUGAAUAUAUUCAUGUCUACGUGUAUGCAUAUUCAUUCAUGUAUGUAUGUGAAUUGUAUGCAUAUGUGUAUGUAAAGGUAUAUAUGUGUUUAUAUAAUUUACACAUGUAUAUGUGUGUAUGCAUAUACAUGUGUGUAUAUUGGGGUAUAUAUAAACAUUUAUGUUUGCAUGCUUGUGAAUAAGUAUGUAUAUACAUGUUUGUGCAUUUGUGUGUAUACAUACAUGUGGAAUAUAAUGCUGGUUGACCUCCUGUUUUUAGCUCCUUGUACUCUGGGUCUUCAUUGUAUGGUGGUCAUAAUGAUCCUUAUAUGGGAGGCAAAGCCCAGAGUUUGGGUUCUCGUUGUCACUGACACCAUGCCCUGGUGAUGGACUCCUCACAGCACCUGGACGUGAUGGACGCCCUUGCCUUCUUGAAGGUAUCACUCCUUAUAGCCUUCUCCCACUCCCUCUCUGUGGCAUUGGCCGGGCAGUGAGGUCCAACAGAAAGACCCAUUUGUAGUGGCUCAUCUCCACACUUGUUGACACUCCUUACUUUACAGCUAAAAAUCAACCUUCCUUACGCUGAUCUCAGUUUCUCACUGUUUCUCUGGAACUCUCCCUGGAAUGUAGUGGAACUUUCCAAAGAAUUAGUUGAGAAAAGCCCAAGACAGACAGAUCCCUCAAGUGACAGUUUGUCUGGUCACUUAGAGGAGGUCUGGGGAGAAUGGAGAGGCAGCGGGGAGGCCGUUAGAGGAAGAGUCAGGACUGUGAGAUCACUCUGGGUCUGGGUCUGGGUCUGGAUCAGAGACUUCAGAGGCUGUCAGAAGUGAAAGGCUAGCUGUGCUAUGCUUACACUCACAAAUGGUGUGACCUCUCUGAUCUCAAAGUGUUUAUAGGAAACCUGAACAAAACACAUCCCAUAAAUUACGGCAUUCUCCCGCCUGUCUCUGUCUCCUCUCCCCGCAUUCCCUCUGAUAAUAAGGCAGCAGAGUGCUUUCCGCUCUCCCUGCACCCGGUUACUUCAUCUGCUUCCUCAGAGGGUGACACCAGCCCAUCACUAGCUAAGCAGGACUUAAUACAGAUUCCUUCCUAUCCUUUAAAAACAGCCUCCCAACUGGCCACACUUCCUCCCGACGGAGUGAGUACAGGGGCGGCUGAUAAAUUGCCUGGAUCCACUGGGUGGCCAAUUCCCGAUUCUCUUCUGCCAAGGUUGCACUCAGCAGCUUUCCCCGAAUUCUGGCAGGGAUGUUUGCAGAGAAACAGAUCCUUUGAUGGCUCCAUCAAAUAUCUCGGGGGCCAGGGGAAUGUGGGCCAAGUUAGUGAAGUUAUAAUCAGGGCGUUACAUUUAUCUUGCUUGACACACCAGACCCUGACCAAAAAUGUACAGUGCGUGUCCUAGGAAAGUGUGAAUAGUGACUCCUCUGUACUGCGGGGUUGGGCAAUGUGGUCUUCUCAAGGUUCUACAUGUGACUGGGAGCCCGCAACAGAGAGGACCAUGGUCAUGGCCAUUGGAGAAGGGGGAGUCAUGUGGCUGCUUUAAAGGCCUUGUACCAGCACCAUCAAGAGAAUUUUCUACAAGAUUGGAAUGUUUCAUUUCUGUGUUGUCUGAUUUAGCAGCCAUGAAUUUAUUUGAACCCUUGGAUGGAGGCUGGAAUGAGUAAUGGCAUCCUGUUUUUUUUUUUUUCUGAAGUAUUUAAAUGAGGGUUUAGUAGGUGGCUCAGGAGGUAAAGGUGUUUGUUAACAAGUCCAACAACCUGAGUUCAAUCCCCGAGACCCACAUGGUGGAGAGAAUUGACUUGUGCAAAUUGUUCUCUGAUGUCCAUAAGUGCACACCAUGCACAAUCCCCCUCCCUCCUCAUAUAUUAUAUAAUAAAGUAAUAAAAAUGUAAAAAGUGUUUAAAUGGA